UCACACCUGUAGCAUUAGAGUAAGGAAUGCAGUUUUGUAAACUCUCUCCUCUUUUAUUGAUGAGCUUCAAAUCCCAUCAUAUUCUAUUAUCGCACAUUCCGCUAUAAUAUUUUGUAAAUUAAGUUUUUCCCUUAGUUCACUGCUGCUGGUUUUCUUGCCUAGGCCUAACUUCCCCCACCCUUUUCUCUUCUCAGUCCGUAGAUCCCUUAGCUUCCUAUCACCAAACCUGGCCAAACUACAACAGCUUUCUUCAGUGACUGGCCCUUACAGGAGCCCAGGCGAACAGAAGCGGUCUUAUUUUCUGGAUAACAUUUCUGUUCUUUUGUUUUUCUUUUACUAGAACACUAGAACUGGUUGGGUUGGAAUGGUCAUUAAAGGUCACAAAACCAUGAAACCCUAGAACUGACUGGGUUGGAAUGGUCCUUAAAGGUCACAGAACCAUGGAACCCCAAAACUGCGUGGGUUGGAAUGGAACUUAAAGGUCACGGAACCAUGGAACCCUAGAACUGCUUGGGUUGGAAUGGAAUUUAAAGGUCACAGAACCAUGGAACCCCAGAACUGCUUGGGUUGGAAGGGUCCCUGAAGGUCACAGAAGCAUGGAACACCAGAACUGCUUGGGUUCGAAUGGUCCUUGAAGGUCACAGAACCAUGGAACCCUAGAACAGCUUGAGUUGGAACUGAUCUUAAAGGUCACAGAACCAUGGAAUCCCAGAACUGGUUGGCUUGGAAUGGUCCUAAAGUGUCACAGAACCAUGGAACACUAGAACUGGGUGGGUUGGAAUGGUCCUAAAAGGUCAGAGAACCAUGAAACCCUAGAACUGGCUGGGUUGGAAUGGUCCUUAAAGGCCACAGAACCAUGGAACACUAGAAAAGGUUGGGUUGGAAUGGACCUUAAAGGUCACAGAACCACGGAACACUAGAACUGGUUGGGUUGGAAUGGAACUUAAAGGUCACAGAACCAUGGAACCCUAGAACUGGUUGGGUUGGAAUGGUCCUUAAAGGUCACAAAACCAUGGAACCCUAGAAAUGGUUGGGUUGGAAUGGUCCUUAAAGGUCAUAGAACCAUGGAACCCCAGAAUUGCUUGCUUUGGAAUGAUACUUAAAGGUCACAGAAACAUGGUACCGCAGAACUGGUUGUUAUGGAAUGGUCCUUAAAGGUCACAGAAUCAUGGAACCCCAGAAUUGGUUGGGAUGGAAUGGUCCUUAAAGGUCACAGAACCAUAGAACACUAGAAAAGGUUAGGAAGGAAUGGUCCUUAAAGGUCACAGAACCAUGGAACACUAGAAAAGGUUGGGUUGGAAUGGAACUUAAAGGUCACAGAACCAUGGAACCCUAGAACUGCUUGUGUUGGAAUGGAACUUAAGGUCAUAGAACCAUGGAACCCCAGAACUGCUAGGGUUGGAAUGGUCCCUGAAGGUCACAGAAGCAUGGAACCCUAGAAAUGGUUGGGAUGGAAUGGUCCUUAAAAUUCCCAGAACCAUGGAAACCCAGAACUGGUUGGGAUGGAAUUGUCCUUAAAGUUCACAGAACCAUGGAACCCCAGAACUUGUAGGGUUGGAAUGGUCCUUAAAGGUCACAGAACCAUAGAACACUAGAAAAGGUUGGGUUGGAAUGAUCCUUGAAGGCCACAGAACCAUGGAACCCUAGAAAUGGUUGGCUUGGAAUGGUCCUUGAAGUUCACAGAACCAUGGAACACUAGAACUGGUUGGGUUGGAUUGGAACUUAAAGGUCACAGAACGAUGGAACCCAAGAACUGGUUGGGUUGGAAUGGACCUUAAAGGUCACAGAACCAUGGAACACUAGAAAAGGUUGGGUUGGAAUGGACCUUAAAGGUCACAGAACCACGGAACACUAGAACUGGUUGGGUUGGAAUGGAACUUAAAGGUCACAGAACCAUGGAACCCUAGAAAUGGUUGGGUUGGAAUGGUCCUUAAAGGUCAUAGAACCAUGGAACCCUAGAAAUGGUUGGGUUGGAAUGGUCCUUAAAGGUCAUAGAACCAUGGAACCCCAGAAUUGCUUGCUUUGGAAUGAUACUUAAAGGUCACAGAAACAUGGUACCGCAGAACUGGUUGUUAUGGAAAGGUCCUUAAAGGUCACAGAACCAUGGAACACUAGAAAAGGUUGGGAUGGAAUGGUCCUUAAAGGUCACAGAACCAUAGAACACUAGAAAAGGUUGGGAAGGAAUGGUCCUUAAAGGUCACAGAACCAUGGAACCCUAGAAAAGGUUGGGUUGUAAUGGAACUUAAAGGUCACAGAACCACGGAACCCCAGAAAUGCGUGGCUUGAAAUGGCCCUUAAAGGUCAGAGAACCAUGGAACCCUAGAACUGCUUGGGUUGGAAUGGUCCUUAAAGGUCACAGAAGCAUGGAACCCUAGAAUUGGUUGGGUUGGAAUGGUCCUUAAAGGUCACAGAACCAUGGAACCCUAGAAAUCGUUGGGUUGGAAUGGUCCUUAAAGGUCAUAGAACCAUGGAACCCCAGAAUUGCUUGCUUUGGAAUGAUACUUAAAGGUCACAGAAACAUGGUACCGCAGAACUGGUUGUUAUGGAAUGGUCCUUGAAGGUCACAGAACCAUGAAACCUUAGAAAUGGUUGGGUUGGAAUGGUCCUUAAAGGCCACAGAACCAUGGAACACUAGAAAAGGUUGGGUUGGAAUGGACCUUAAAGGUCACAGAACUACGGAACACUAGAACUGGUUGGGUUGGAAUGGAACUUAAAGGUCACAGAACCAUGGAACCCUAGAAAUGGUUGGGUUGGAAUGGUCCUUAAAGGUCAUAGAACCAUGGAACCCCAGAAUUGCUUGCUUUGGAAUGAUACUUAAAGGUCACAGAAACAUGGUACCGCAGAACUGGUUGUUAUGGAAUGGUCCUUAAAGGUCACAGAAUCAUGGAACCCCAGAAUUGGUUGGGAUGGAAUGGUCCUUAAAGGUCACAGAACCAUAGAACACUAGAAAAGGUGGGGAAGGAAUGGUCCUUAAAGGUCACAGAACCAUGGAACACUAGAAAAGGUUGGGUUGGAAUGGAACUUAAAGGUCACAGAACCACGGAACCCCAGAAAUGCGUGGCUUGAAAUGGUCCUUAAAGGUCAGAGAACCAUGGAACCCUAGAACUGCUUGUGUUGGAAUGGAACUUAAGGUCAUAGAACCAUGGAACCCCAGAACUGCUAGGGUUGGAAUGGUCCCCGAAGGUCACAGAAGCAUGGAACCCUAGAAAUGGUUGGGAUGGAAUGGUCCUUAAAAUUCCCAGAACCAUGGAAACCCAGAACUGGUUGGGAUGGAAUUGUCCUUAAAGUUCACAGAACCAUGGAACCCCAGAACUUGUAGGGUUGGAAUAGUCCUUCAAGGUCACAGAACCAUGGAAAACCAGAACUUCUAGGGUUGGAAUGGUCGUUAAAGGUCACAGAACCAUGGAACCCCAGAACUUGUAGGGUUGGAAUGGUCCUUAAAGGUCACAGAACCAUAGAACACUAGAAAAGGUUGGGUUCGAAUGGUCCUUGAAGGCCACAGAACCAUGGAACACUAGAACUGGUUGGGUUGGAUUGGAACAUAAAGGUCACAGAACGAUGGAACCCAAAAACUGGUUGGGUUGGAAUGGUCCUUAAAGGUCACAGAACCAUGGAACACUAGAAGAGGUUGGGAUGGAAUGGUCCUUAAAGGUCACAGAACCAUGGAACACUAGAAAUGGUUGGGUUGGAAUGGACCUUAAAGGUCACAGAACCACGGAACCCCAGAACUGGUUGGGUUGGAAUGGUCCUUAAAGGUCACAGAACCAUGGAACCCCAGAACUGCUUGGGUUGGAAUGGUCCUUAAACGUCACAGAACCAUGAAACCCUAGAACUGGCUGGGUUGGAAUGGUCCUUAAAGGUCACAGAACCAUGGAACACUAGAAAAGGUUGGGAUGGAAUGGUCCUAAAGUGUCACAGAACCACGGAACACUAGAACUGGUUGGGUUGGAAUGGAACUUAAAGGUCACAGAACCAUGGAACCCUAGAAAUGGUUGGGUUGGAAUGGUCCUUAAAGGUCAUAGAACCAUGGAACCCCAGAAUUGCUUGCUUUGGAAUGAUACUUAAAGGUCACAGAAACAUGGUACCGCAGAACUGGUUGUUAUGGAAUGGUCCUUAAAGGUCACAGAAUCAUGGAACCCCAGAAUUGGUUGGGAUGGAAUGGUCCUUAAAGUUCACAGAACCAUGGAACCCCAGAACUUGUAGGGUUGGAAUGGUCCUUAAAGGUCACAGAACCAUGGAACACCAGAACUUGUAGGGUUGGAAUGGUCGUUAAAGGUCACAGAACUAUGAAACCCUAGAACUGGCUGGUUUGGAAUGGUCCUUAAAGGUCACAGAACCAUAGAACACUAGAAAAGGUUGGGUUGGAAUGGUCCUUGAAGGCCACAGAACCAUGGAGCCCCAGAACUGCUAGCGUUGGAAAGGUCCGUGAAGGUCACAGAACCACGGAAUACUAGAACUGCUUGGUUGGAAUGUAACUUAAAGGUCACAGAACCAUGGAACCCCAGAACUGCUAGGGUUGGAAUUUUCCUUAAAGGUCACAGAACAUUGGAACCCUAGAACAGCUUGGGUUGGAACUGAUCUUAAAGGACACAGAACCAUGGAAACCUAGAACUGCUUGGGAUGGAAUGGUCCUUAAAGGUCACAGAACCAUGGAACCCCAGAACUGCAUGGGUUGGAACUGAUCUUAAAGGUCACAGAACCAUGGAACCCCAGAACUGGUUGGCUUGGAAUGGUUUUAAAGUGUCACAGAACCAUGGAACACUAGAACUGGGUGGGUUGGAAUGGUCCUAAAAGGUCACAGAACCAUGAAACCCUAGUACUGGCUGGGUUGGAAUGGUCCUUAAUGGUCACAGAACCACGGAACACUAGAACUGGUUGGGUUGUAAUGGAACUUAAAAGUCACAGAACCAUGGAACCCUAGAAAUGGUUGGGUUGGAAUGGUCCUUAAAGGUCACAGAACCAUGGAACUCCAGAACUGGUUGGAAAGGAAUGGUCCUUAAAGGUCACAGAACCAUGGAAUACUAGAAAAUGUUGGGUUGGAAUGGUCCUUAAAGGUCACAGAACUAUACAACCCUAGAACCGGUUGGAUUGGAAUGGUCCACAAGUGUCACAGAACCAUUGAACCCCAGAAGUGGUUGGGUUGGAAUGGUCCUUAAAGAUCACAGAACCAUGGAACCCUUGAACUGGUUGGGUUGGAAUAGUCCUUAAAGGUCACAGAAGCAUGGAACCCUAGAAAUGGUUGGGUUGGACCUGAACUUAAAGGUCACAGAACCAUGGAACCCCAGAACUGCUUGGGAUGGAAUGGUCCUUGAAGGUCACAGAACCACUGAACCCUAGAACUGGUUGCGUUGGAAUCGUCCUUAAAGGUCACAGAACCAUGGAACCCCAAAACUGCUUGGGUUGGAAUGGAACUUAAAGGUCACAGAACCAUGGAACACUAGAACUGGUUGCGUUGGAAUGGACCUUAAAGGUCACAGAACCACGGAACACUAGAACUGGUUGGGUUGGAAUGGAACUUAAAGGUCACAGAACCAUGGAACACUAGAACUGGUUGCGUUGGAAUGGUCCUUAAAGGUCACAGAACCAUGGAAUGCUAGAACAGCUUGGGUUGGAACUGAUCUUAAAGGUCACAGAACCACGGAACACUAGAACUAGUUGGGUUGGAAUGGACCUUAAGGGUCACAGAACCACGGAACAGUAGAACUGGUUGGGUUGGAAUGGUCCAUAAGUGUCACAGAACCAUUGAACCCCAGAACUGCUAGGGUUGGAAUGGU